rnacentral:rRNA from 1 species
AUAAAGUGGCGAACGGCUGAGUACACGUGGGCAACCUGCCCUUUGCACUGGGAUAGCCUCGGGAAACCGAGGUUAAUACCGGAUACUCCAUAUUUGUCGCAUGGCGAAUAUGGGAAAGCUCCGGCGGCAAAGGAUGGGCCCGCGGCCUGUUAGCUAGUUGGUGGGGUAGUGGCCUACCAAGGCAAUGAUGGGUAGCCGGGUUGAGAGACCGACCGGCCAGAUUGGGACUGAGACACGGCCCAGACUCCUACGGGAGGCAGCAGAA